UCGACGGACUUAUAUUGAAACCUAGUGAUAUAUAAGUUAGUGGCGGACGGGUGAGUAACGCGUGGAGAACCUGCCCUGCACAGGGGGAUAACACUUAGAAAUAGGUGCUAAGACCGCAUAAGCGCACGGGACCGCAUGGUGCAGUGUGAAAAAUGGAAACAUGGUGCAGGAUGGCUCCGCGUCUGAUUAGCUGGUUGGCGGGGUAACGGCCCACCAAGGCGACGAUCAGUAGCCGGCCUGAGAGGGUGACCGGCCACAUUGGGACUGAGACACGGCCCAAACUCCUACGGGAGGCAGCAGUGGGGAAUAUUGGACAAUGGGGGAAACCCUGAUCCAGCGACGCCGCGUGAGUGAAGAAGUAUUUCGGUAUGUAAAGCUCUAUCAGCAGGGAAGAAGAAAUGACGGUACCUGACUAAGAAGCCCCGGCUAACUACGUGCCAGCAGCCGCGGUAAUACGUAGGGGGCAAGCGUUAUCCGGAUUUACUGGGUGUAAAGGGAGCGUAGACGGUAAGGCAAGUCAGAUGUGAAAGCCCGGGGCUCAACCGCGGGACUGCAUUUGAAACUGUCCUACUGGAGUGCAGGAGAGGUAAGUGGAAUUCCUAGUGUAGCGGUGAAAUGCGUAGAUAUUAGGAGGAACACCAGUGGCGAAGGCGGCUUACUGGACUGUAACUGACGUUGAGGCUCGAAAGCGUGGGGAGCAAACAGGAUUAGAUACCCUGGUAGUCCACGCCGUAAACGAUGAUUACUAAGUGUCGGGGGUUAAUGAACCUCCGGUGCCGUCGCAAACGCAAUAAGUAAUCCACCUGGGGAGUACGUU
rnacentral:rRNA from 1 species